GAUGAAGAACGCAGCGAAAUGCGAUACUUGGUGUGAAUUGCAGAAUCCCGUGAACCAUCGAGUCUUUGAACGCAAGUUGCGCCUCAAGCCAUUAGGUUGAGGGCACGUCUGCCUGGGCGUCACAUAUCGUUGCCUGAUGCCAGUUUCCUCGUGAUGGGUGACUGUGCAGGGCGAAUGAUGGCUUCCCGUGAGCAUUGUUGCCUCAUGGGUGGUUGAAAAUUGAGUCCUUGGUAGGGAGCGCCGUGAUAGAUGGUGGUUGAGUGACGAACGAGACCCAAUCAUGUGAGACCCCUACCGAAUUUGGCCUUCAUGACCCACAUGCGUCUUUGGAACGCUCAUGACGAGACCUCAGGUCAGGCGGGGCUACCCGCUGAGUUUAAGCAUAUCAAUAAGCGGAGGA
rnacentral:misc_RNA from 1 species